rnacentral:lncRNA from 1 species
CCCAGGUAUGAAGUUUAAGAAGCCAAAACUGUUCUAGCUUUAUUAAAAGAAAAAAAAAAAAGUCGUUGUGCUGUAGACUAUCGUGUAGUGAUGAUUAAACAAAGCAAGGGAAAAGCACCACUCAAAUCACUAAUGCUAGGGUUUGCUUGGUUAAAUCCAGCUAUAAUAAAGUUGUAGGCUAAAAGUUACGUAGACAUCGCUAUGUCCGCAUGUGGGUUCUUGGAAGAAACUGUGAUGAAACUCACAUGUCCUGUAACAUAAUUAGGGAGUGAAACAUUGCUAACAUGAUAACAUACUGCAAGUACAGGGAACCCCUUCCUUCCCACCGCCGGGAUGUUAGUUCAGUAGCUGAGAUCUAUGACUCUGUGCAGGUCUGUACGACUUCUGUUACAGCUCAGGCUGCUCAAAAGAAGCAUGAAUAUAUAUAUAUUUAAGGGGAAAAUGUAACAUUAGUAACAAUACUGAUAAUUCAAAGGAAAGUUAGCUAAUCUGCAUAACAAUCAGAUAACCUUGCUUUCAUUUUAAAGUUAAGGCAUUAUCAGGUGCAAACUAGCACCAGUUAACACAUCUUUCGUUAAAAACAGACCAUCCGAAGCAAAUUCCAAGUCCGACUUAAAAGACAGAGUCUGCAGAAGGUUUAUAAAUGUGGUACUUUGUCUCAACUUGACUGGUGCUUCCUACCUCACUGUCUCCUUUGCAGAGAGCCAGGGCCCAAUUAUGUUUCCAUUAAACUUUUGACAGAUUUACUUAGUAACAGUCUCAGCACUUUUUAUUGAGCAUGCAAGACUAACAAAACUUUGGCAAUGCAUAAGUGUAACACAGUGACAAGAAGAGAGAGCUUUUACAAUUAAAUCUUCUAAUACUGGCUUCACAGUGUGGAAAUUGUGCUACAUCCACCAAAAGAGGGCCCAGUCUACUCAAAUAUUUAAGUACUUCACCCCAGGAACAAACUCCUUUGCGUUUGGAUUCAGAUUACUCUUGACCACCAGAUCCUCCAGUGAUGAGCUGUCACUGAUAACAAGGUCAUUGAACUGGUCCUGGAUUUGAUCCAUUGUCUGUGGGAGAUCACGGGCUGGAAUAAACCAUUCGUGCUCCUCCUCUUCUUCCAGCAUCUCUUGGAAACAGCGCUCAAUAAAUUCUUCUUCCCACAACUCCUCUUCAAUCUGCCUGUUAAAUUCCUCUUCGUUUUCCAUCCACAUGUACUCCGCAAAGGGAUUGUCAUCUUCAUGAGAAUGACCAUUUAUGAUCACAUCUUCACUGAUGAUGCUUGGGCUAGUACUGCUGCGACUGGGAUCUUUCAUGGCUGCGUCUCUGAUUUGAAGUCUGCGCGCUGAGGGAAGGCCGCGCUGCGCCGCCGGCUCCGAGCUGCUCCGCGCCGCUGCGCUCCGCUCCGCUCCGUGCCCGCCGCCCCGCUCCCCUCCCAGCGCCGCAGCCCCGCCGGACGUGAAAUCACUUCCGCUACCUGCGUGACCUCACAGGCCGCGCCCCCCUCUCCCCCGGAAGCGGCGGCAGGCACGGAGCGCCCGGCGGCGGCCGUGGCCGAGGGGCGGCGCGCGGCAUGCUGGGAGCUGUAGUCCUCGCGCCGCGCGGCAUGCCGGGCGCCCUCGCUGGGCGGCCAUUUCGCGGGGCGCGCCGCGCGGCACGCCGGGAAACGUAGUGCCGGCCGCAGGGCGAGCCGCCAUCUUGUGGCGUUGCCGGGAAGCGAAGCGCGGCCCAGCUCGGGGCUGGGAGGAGGAGCGCUCCAAGCGUUACACGCAGGUUUCGCAUCUGUGAUAGAAGUGCCUUCUUCCACUUAUUUCAGUGUUCAGCAAGCCCAGGGUCUUAGGUGCACCUCUGCAGAGCUACACGUGUAGCAGAGAACAAACCGCCUCGUGUAAGCUCAUGUGUGAGUUACAUACGGAUCACUAGGCCUACGUCUAGCACUUCAUGCUGCAGUCUGACUUCCCCUCGUGCCCUUUUGUGGUACAGAGAAGAGCCAAUAAAUAGCUUGCCAAGGCCACAUGCCAUUCUGCCACCCAAGCGUACCCAGGCAUCUCCUCGAGAUUAAGCACUUCUGAAGCCUUCCUUUCAUCAGGCAUCAGCACAACGCAUGCAUGCAAAGGCAGAGAGAACGCAGGAGAACACACUUCUCAGAAUAUAUGAGGGCAGCUCCAAAAGCAACCCCUUAUUUCGUUCUGUUGGCCCACGAAAGGAUGUGGGUGUUGUGGUGUGACAGCAGAGCUUCAACCGCCCCCACAGCGCUGUGUGACGGAUGGCAGCAGAGGGACACUGACCAAAUGGUGUGGGACGUGGAAGUGCGCAUUGAGCAAAGGUGUGCGACCAAACUCCUGCACGUGGAAAAAAUGGCACUUGGAAACAAUAAUCACUGCUUGGUGAAUGCUUAUGAGACCAAGCAGUGGAAGUGAGCACAAAGUUGGACGUCACGGGCAGCGUUUUCCCAGCAACGGCACUGCCAUGGCAGCCGUGGGUUACUUUUGCUUGUGCAGAUUUUUAUGAUCGUGGCCUGCAAGCUUUUGUUCAUUGCUGAUAAAAACACACAGCUAAUGGUGGCAACUA